UACAGAGGUCUCAAGCGUUGUUCGGAUUCAUUGGGCGUAAAGGGUGCGUAGGCGGCGCGGUAAGUCGGGUGUGAAAUUUCGAGGCUUAACUUCGAAACUGCAUUCGAUACUGCCGUGCUUGAGGACUGGAGAGGAGACUGGAAUUUACGGUGUAGCGGUUAAAUGCGUAGAUAUCGUAAGGAAGACCAGUGGCGAAGGCGGGUCUCUGGACAGUUCCUGACGCUGAGGCACGAAGGCCAGGGGAGCAAACGGG
rnacentral:rRNA from 1 species